rnacentral:rRNA from 1 species
GUGCCAGCAGCCGCGGUAAUUCCAGCUCCAAUAGCGUAUAUUAAAGUUGUUGCAGUUAAAAAGCUCGUAGUUGGAUCUCAGGUCCCGGCUCGCGGUUCACUUCGCGGUGCUUACUGCCCGUCCGGACCUACCCGCCGGUUUUCCCUUGGUGCUCUUCAUUGAGUGUCUCGGGUGGCCGGAACGUUUACUUUGAAAAAAUUAGAGUGUUCAAAGCAGGCGCUUCGCCUGAAUAAUGGUGCAUGGAAUAAUGGAAUAGGACCUCGGUUCUAUUUUGUUGGUUUUCGGAACUCGAGGUAAUGAUUAAGAGGGACAGACGGGGGCAUUCGUAUUACGGUGUUAGAGGUGAAAUUCUUGGAUCGCCGUAAGACGAACUACUGCGAAAGCAUUUGCCAAGAAU